rnacentral:rRNA from 1 species
UACGGAGGGUGCAAGCGUUAUCCGGAUUUAUUGGGUUUAAAGGGUGCGCAGGUUGUUUGAUAAGUCAGUGGUGAAAGUCUGUCGCUUAACGGUAGGAUUGCCAUUGAUACUGAUAGUCUUGAGUUUGGUUAAGGUAGGCGGAAUGUGUAAUGUAGCGGUGAAAUGCUUAGAUAUUACACAGAACACCAAUUGCGUAGGCAGCUUACUGAGCCGACACUGACGCUGAGGCACGAAAGCGUGGGGAUCAAACAGGAUUAGAUA